UUUUUUUUUUUAUUUUUUUUUUUUUUGUCUUUUGUCUUUUUUUCGGAUUCGUUAACCACUGCGCCACGACGGGAACUCCAAUUAAUCGUUUUUUUAAAAAAGAAAACCUUGAGAACAUGCUAUUUCCACAAGCUCUAGGGAAACAGAGUCUCUUUACACUGUUCAUAAGUAUGCAAAAUGAGAUGAUCACUUUAAAAAGGAAUUUGGUAAUAUCUAACUAUACUAUAUAUAUAUUUACCUUUUAAUUUAGUAAUCUCACUUUUAGAAAUUUCCAUCUUCUCUGCUUCUCGAAGAUAUAGCUCCAAAAAUCGGAGAAAAAUACUAAAAGAGUUUUCACAUCAGCAUUAUUUGUCAUGAAGGAUGUUGGAAAUAACCCAAACGCCCAAUUAUAGAAUGACUGAAAAACUGUCAUAACUCACAAGACAGAGUACUCUACAGAUAUUUAUUUUAAAAAAUCCUCAUUAGGAGAUGUUGUCAUUUCUUAUGUGCCAGUUUAGAUUUAUUUAUAAAUAUAGAUAAAUAUCUUUAUUUUUUCAAAAUAAAAUAUAGGAAGGAUAAACCAAAAUAUAAUAAACUGGUUAUGUACAGGUGUGUGUGGAUAUAGAAAGGCUAGGUAAUGACUAAAAAUAUUCUCAAUAUACCUUAUGUGUUAGCAUCCAGUCAGGAAAACAGAAAUGACACAGAUUACUUUGACAAGAUAAUUUAGGAGCUUGUCUACAUUAAUGCCGGAAGAAUAAAAGGCAAACAUGGCACACUGAGGUAACAGAGAUCUUAACUGCCCAAGCAGCUCCCACCCCAAAGGCUAGAAGAGCAAAGGACACUGUAGGAGGGACUCUGCCAACUGGGAAUACAUUUCUCUAAAGACAGGGGGCUGACUCUUUGGUUGUGCUAGAAGCUCAGGAGCUCUGAGGAGAAGUGUUGUGAAGCUGGGGCUCAGACCACCGAGAAUAAGGUUCUUUCUGCCUAAAAGUACUAGAAGAAAAUAUAAGCUGUAAACAAGGGUUCCCAGAGAGAUCUCUCACUGUCUGGAUAAACGAUUGUCACUGAAGAAAUUCAGAAAAGGACAACAAAGAAACAUGGAGAAAUUCUUUUCUCCUUCCUCCUUUUCUCCCGUCUCCUAGGGUACCCAGUGGGAGAACCUAACAGGACUACUUGAUAAGAGUGAAAUACAGUUCAGGGUGCCAGCAUCAUAGAAAAGAAUAUGGAAGUGGGGUUGGGAGCUGGGAACCAAUAGAUUAUUAGCCAACACAGUAGUUUUGGCUACUAAACAGCCAUACACACUCUUCUACAUAUAGGUGAAAUUCUACGUAAUAGCAUAAAAAUACAAUUUCACAAAUUUGUUAAAAUGUAUGAGAACUGUAUCUACCUUUCCUUCAUGCAUAUAUAAAAUACUCUCUUCUUCUCCUCCCCAAAAAGGGGAAACACAAAGUCCUGGUUGUACAGACACACAUUAAUGGACAAUGCUCAUUACUCCUCACAGGCAAUCACAGUCAAACGUCAUGUAAGCAAACUGAAAAUGAACCACCAACAAUUCUUAUAUAAAAUAAUGACAUGAGGCGGAAAGAAGAAAAAAUAAAUUUUGAACAAUGAAAACAUUUUAUAUAUUCGAAAAUAAAUCAGCAAGGAUAGACUACAACCAAUAAAAUUAACUACACACAGAAGCAAAUGGAUAUAUCAAACAGAUAACAUAAUUACUUGGGAAUAACAGAAUUAAUUUAAAUAUAUUUGCCUAGAGUAUUUCAGCCAGUCAUACGUCCUGGAUAUACUCUAACUACAAAGGCAGCAAAAAAUAGAUCGAUCUUUACACAGUAGAGGUGUGGUUUGGAGAAUUUUAUCUAAGUCUUUCAAUUAUUAGGUAGACAAUAAUGAUGAUGAUGGCAGAGGAAGAUGUGGAGGAGGAGAAAGCAGAGAAGAUGGAUGAUAGAUGAUGGAUAGGUAGACAGAUGGAUGAUAGUGCCAAUGACUAAACAGACUGCUACUUAGGACUCUGAGUUCACAAUGAGAGAAGAACAUAUAAAAGCAGGACGGGAAGAAACCUGAGAUCUCUGUAAGAAAACGAUUUUUGUUUUUUGUUUAUUUCCUGGAUCUGUCCCCCCAAAAAGCCUAGAAAUGUAACAUCAGAAGCAACAGACAGAGUGGCACCAGGUCUUGGUUUGUAAAUAUGAUUUGGAGAAAUAGCUGAUCACAAAUGUGGGCAAAGAAACAGAAUAUCCUUUUGUGCCUGAAGGUAGAGAAGUAUCCAAAAACCAUUAAAGGAAUUAAGGCAUUUUUUAAUUCAUGAGUUCUCACCUUCCCCCUCCCCCCAAAAAAAGCACAGGAAGGAAAAGGAAAGAAUUCCAGCUAAUAAAUGUAGAAGGAAAAAUAGAAAAUCACUAUUUUUAAGAAUUUCCAAUAGAUGCUAAAUCCAUUAGAGAACGUUAUUGAAAACAAGAAACACAAAAUCUUAAAGUUUUGUUGAAACAGAGUUCCCUGGAAGUUACAUAUUAAUUAUCAAGGGUAAUAGAAACCUACAUAGUGAAUAAGCCUGACAGGCACUUCCUAAACUAAGUCAUCAACUUAACAUUACCUAGAAAGGGGUAAAAUGACCUUAUGUGCCUCCUGAUUCAAUGCACUAAAGAGGACACGGCAGUACAUAUAGUAUUAGUUUCAAAAAAACUAAAUAUGAACUUACUCAUGAGGAAACACUCAGACAAACCCAGACUGUGACAUUCUACAAUUUUUCUGAACUAUUAAAAAAAAAGUCACUAUCAUAUGAUUAAAAAAAAAGGAAGUGGAAAAACUGGUGUAGAUUAAAGACUAAAGAGACAAAUAAUGCAAUGGUGAUCCUUGAUGGAUUUUCAGUGGGGAAAAUUAUAAGACAUUAAUAGGACACUAGGAAAAUUAGAAUAUGGAUUGUAGGUCAAAUGACUGCCUAGUACCAAUGUAUUAUCCUUCAGGAGUGAUAAUAUUAUUAUAAUUAUACAGUAGAAUGUCUUCAUUUAUGGAAAAUAAAUGUUGAUGUACUUCAGGGCAAUGCAUCAUAAUUCCUGAAACAUACUUCUAAAAGAUUAGCAAUGUACACAAAAUGAAGCCAGUGUGGUAAAUGGCUGAACUUCUAUGACUGUUCAUUGUAUUUUUCUUUCAUCUUUUCUCAGGCAACCCUAAGACUAGAAGGGUCCUUCAAAAUUACCCCAAGCUAGGGCAAGGGGACCAGACCUUUACAGCUCUCCAACUCACAUUUUCAUUCACCUGAAGGGAGCUGCCCUGGAAAAGCCUGGAUGUUGGACAAGGCCCCUCUCCAGUGAAGGCAAUAAUACUGAAAGGAGAUUCCUAAAAACCUUGUCUACAGCACUCCAAGCAGAAGGAUACUUACAGGG
rnacentral:lncRNA from 1 species